rnacentral:lncRNA from 1 species
CUCCAUCUCUCUUCUCCCCCACCACUUCUUCCACCUCAGGCCGCUGCCACGGCCAGGCCGGCGUGGUGGUGCGCCUCUGCAGCCCAGCCACCACCAUCUCCAUCCAUCUCCGCUGCGCCACCAUCCACAUCAGCGCCGCUGCGCCACCCAUCACCAGCACCAACACCCAGCGCCACCCAGCACCUCCACACGCUCCACACCGCCGCCAUCCAUCACCACCGCACCACUGAACACCUCCGCGCAAGAGUUUCCCUGCUGCCGUCCUUCUUCCCUUGCCUCUGCUGCUGCUCUUGCUUGCGCCCCUGUGCUGCUGCCUUUCUUCUCCCCUUGCUACUGCUCCCCUUUUCUAGCGCCUCAACCUGCUGCUCCUUCGCCUGCUGCUAGUCCCUUUCCCCACUCCUCUGCUGCUCCUCCUCUUAAAACUGCUGCUGCUCUUCUUUCCCACGUUCCUGCUCUGCACUCUGCUUCUCACCUCCGUUGCUGCUGUUUCUCUUCUGAACCUCUGCUACUGUUCAGCUCUGAACCUCUGCAUCUGUGUUGAAUGUGCUUUCAGUGUUCUUGAGAUGUGUAAACUGUUCAAUAUUCAGCUUACAAUUUGUAAAACUUUUGUGAUUCAGUGGUGUCUCUAUGUUAUACAUAUAGCUUGUGUACUGCUUGCUGCAGUAAAUUUCAGUUUGUAAGUUCCUGUGAUAGCUCCAGUACAUGUGACUUUUAUGUUGUCUCAAGUUCCUGUUAUAUAUAUACAUAUGUGUGUGUCUGUGAUGUGAUACAUUUAUGUUCUGUCCUACAACCUUAUUGUGUUAGCAUUUUAUUUCUCAUGUAAAACGAAAAUACCAAAAAUAUUAUUGAAGAUAAUCUGAACCUCCUUUGACCUUUUUGCAUUUUCUUUGGUGACGAUCUUUGGGUACAACCUUGUUUAGUGUAGGUUUUUUUUCUUGCAUUCAUAAUCUGAAUUGUGUUACCUAGCUUUAGCCAAGCACCGUCAUCGAUUUGCCUAGUCCCUGAUGAGAACACGACACUCGUAGUUUGGGGCGUAAAAACCCAGCUAUAUUACAAUUGAUCAUUUUGGCGCCGUUGCCGGGGACUAGCGUCGAGCGAUUGUGCGAAGCUAUAGACUAGGCUUAGUAUAGUUUUUGUUUAAAUUUCCAGUCAAAUUUAUUUCUGUGCUUCUUUUACCUUUUUACUUUUUGUUGCUUCGGCUUAUUAGGAUACUAACCCUCUCACCAAUGUUUCAUGUUUGUGAGCGUGUGUAGGAUAUCUUAUUAUUUGUAGGCUGAUUGACAGUUGCACCUGAACAUAUGGCUUUAGUACAUGAUCUUUGGUUGCCAAGUAGUUUGGACACGAUGACAGGGCCAAUUUGGCCAUCUAUUGAGGCCAAAAUUUUUGAGUUGAGGCCUGGACUUAUUGCUCUCGUCUUGCAGAAUCAGUUUAGAGGAUUACCCAAUGAAGACCCUCAUGAGCACAUUAGUAAUGUUCUGGAGUAUGCCAAUACAGUCCAGUAUCAUGGCGUUUCCCAAGAUACUAUCAAGUGUAUGUUGUUCACAUUCUCUCUCAGAGAUGCUGCUAAGGACUGGUACUAUUCUUUGCCAUCAAGAUCAUACACUUGGGGUGAUAUUUCACAAGCUUUCCUGCAUAGAUAUUUUCCACUUUACAAGCAAGCUGCAAUUCGUGACCAGAUCCUCAGUUUUGCGCAAGAUGGUAGUGAGAGCUUGUAUGCAGCUUGGGAGAGAUAUAAGUAUUUGCUUAGAAAAUGUCCUAAUCAUGGGCAAAAGGAUUGGUUAGUGCUUCAGAUAUUCUAUAGAGGGCUGACACAUGCUUCAAGAGAUCUUAUUGAUAUGUCAGCUGGUGGAACAAUCAUGAACAAGACCGUCGAGGGUGCAAUUAUUCUCAUUGAGAGCAUUGCCUUCCACCAAAUGCAAUGGGGUUAUGAAAGGCCUAGUUCAAAUCCGAAGGUUGCAAGCCUCGUGCAAUCAGAAGUUGUGUGUUCCAUAAGUGAACAGAAAUCAUCCAUGGUGCCUAAUAUUCAAAACCAGCAUGUUUCAUUCCGGGGACAACAACAUUUCAGAACUGAAUUAGAUCCUCCAUAUAGAACGAUUGAUCUUACUUCAAUUAUCCUUGAUGAUGAUUAUGAUAUUUUUCAAGAUGAUGAAACUACUGUAGAUCAGAUGGAAACCACAGUAGCAGAUCCAAUACCUCAUGGCAAUGAAACUGUCCAGAAUGAGUCAAAGCUGAAAGAAGAUGUUUAUGAGGAACCUACUCUGAUUGAUGCUAAGUUGAGACAACAAGAUAUGGAGAAAUUCACUUGUGUUAGUCAACUAUGUGACUGGUGGAAUUUAGUCGUGUCACCAAUUGCCCACACUUGUGUUACAACGGUAUCUGGGCUAUUUGUCAAGAAGAAAUCAUUAGCUCCACCGGUGGUUGCCUCUAUCACAGUUAAAGAGAGUAUCUCAGAGAAGAAUAGUGAAGAUGAGAUUCCAACUCCUGCACAUACAACUAAGCAAGUCGGAGCCAUUCCAAGGAGAGAGAUACAAGAGGUUGAGUCAAAUUUAGAAGAGUUGAUACUUCAAUAUCCUGAGAAGAUCCCACGUGUUGCUGAGCUGCAUGACUGGUGGAAGUCAUCAGUGUCACUGUUGAGACUUAGUAGUGAUGGUGAUGAGGAGAACAUUGCUCAGAAAGACAGCGAGGUAGUGAUCUCAACACCCCUACCAGAUCAUGUUAGUGAAUAUUCACAUAUGGGGACACUUCAGACUCAAUUAAGUGUUGCUGGUAGUAGCACCAUAGAAGAUCCAGAGGAAGAGAGUCCUCAACUUGAAGAAGAUUUACAAGAAGACAAGGAACAAGAUGAUCAAGAGCUGCAAUUUCCAAGUGAUCAAGUUGAAGACUCAUCAUCUACUACUCCUGAAGAAGUACAAGAAGCUGUUGUAGAUGAAGAUGAAGAACCUGAGAUUCAUUGGCCUAUUGUCAUACAUGAGCGCGAUGUGUCAGGUUUACCCAAUCCUCUUGAUGACAUGCUCCCUUGUGAUUUCUUUGCUUCUAACUUGCAUUGCAUGAUGCCAUCACUUAAGGUAGAUUUGAAAAACUAUUUGCUUGGACAUGAUCAUACACACCCUGUUAGUGGCAUUACUCUCAUUUGUGAUGAUCACAGUUACUUUCCUCGUGCUAGUUCUAUGCUUAAUGAAACAUAUCAUUCCCAUGUUAGUCUUGAGCUUAAUGAUAAAUAUCAUCCUCAUGUUAGCAUUGAGCUUACUGAUUUGUACCAUCCUAAACAUGUGCUUUAUAGCUAUGCUUAUGUAAUUGGGUACUCUAUAGAUGAUUUAGAGGGCAUUACCCUUGUCACUUGUAUUGUUUCCUUGGUUGAGUGCUCUUUCAGGUUGUUGCUUGUGCACGAUCCACUACAUGCUGACCAAGUCCGAGAUGACAUUCCCUGGGACCCCGGUGGACCCAUGGCAUGGGGAUGAGGAGAAGCAAGGAGCACACAUGAAGAGAGAAGCUGGAGCAGGCAUGAGGAUAGAGAAGCAAAAAGAGAAGAGCUGCAGCUUAGAGAGUCAUCAAGCGAGUGCUACUUCAUAGUGCCCGGUUAGCUGUUUCAUGACCCAUUCUGAGUAUAUCAUCCAUUGAUGCUUGCUGAAUUAAAUUGCUAUUUGGGUUGCUUGUGCCAUUUCUUAAAUGUUGUCCCACUGAAUUUCACCUUUGACAUGUGGUGCUUGAUGAGAAUAUGCGAACUAAUUGUUGAAUGCCUUGUAACUAGUGAUCUACACCCUGUUUGCUCUGCUAAAAGUAGUGAAAGCUAUUAGUUCUGAGUGCUCAAAUCCCUAGUACACUAGAAAACUAAAUCAUUUUCUGCAUUUACUAUGAUACACCUAGAUCACCAUGUUUAGAUGCUGAAUUUGUGCCAAGUGUGUUCCCAUUGAGAGCAAUCACCUAACUACUAUGGAAUAUCAUGCUAUGUUCCCUGGAUCGGUAGCAUGUGAACCAGACAUGGAGAAGUGAUGAUUCCUAUUUUUGUGCUUAUGCAUUGUUCAUUUAAGAUAAGUAAUAAUGAAUAAAUUAGUCUGACUACCUACAGUAGCAUGUCAUGUUCUUGGGAUCGGUGGCAUGUGAAAUCGGGUUAGCUUGGGCAGUAAUUAUUAUAAAAAUGUAAUUGUCGAACCAGGUGUAUACCAUGUUCUCGGGAUCGGUGGUAUGUUCCUUUGGGGAGACAAACAAGAAAACUAUAUAAUUGGUCAAGCCGGGUGUAUACCAUGUUCUCGGGAUCGGUGGUAUGUUCCUUUGGUGAGAUCAAUAAAAUAUUAUCAUUACUUCCUUCAAAUUCAAUAAGUGGUUCAACCACAAAGUUAUAUUUCUGCAAAUAAGAGAUUUAAUUCCAGUUCUUUUUGUUCUCGGGAUCAUGCUCUCUUUAGGAAUCAUUUGGCGCAAUCAUCAUUUAAACUUGUUGGUCCUCUUUUAUCAUUGUAAAAGUUUAAAAUGGUCAUGCUUACCAGUAUCCUACUGCUUUGUAGCACUCUUAACCAUCAAUUUUCACUAGCUAAGUCCAAAAGCAUGCAUUGUUUAGAGAUCUACUUCACUUGGACAUUCUUUACUCAGUUCACUGUUCACAUUCUUGCUCUUGUCAUAUGCCUUUGCUUGAGGACAAGCAAAGAUUUAAGUGUGGGGGAACUUGAUAAGUAUAUUUCACAUAUAUAAUUUUGGUACUCAAAUAUAGCUUCUAUCGUGACAUAUUCGUCCAUUCUUGCCAUGAUUGNNNNNNNNNNNNNNNNNNNNNNNNNNNNNNNNNNCAUUACUUCCUUCAAAUUCAAUAAGUGGUUCAACAACAAAGUUAUAUUUCUGCAAAUAAGAGAUUUAAUUCCAGUUCUUUUUGUUCUCGGGAUCAUGCUCUCUUUAGGAAUCAUUUGGCGCAAUCAUCAUUUAAACUUGUUGGUCCUCUUUUAUCAUUGUAAAAGUUUAAAAUGGUCAUGCUUACCAGUAUCCUACUGCUUUGUAGCACUCUUAACCAUCAAUUUUCACUAGCUAAGUCCAAAAGCAUGCAUUGUUUAGAGAUCUACUUCACUUGGACAUUCUUUACUCAGUUCACUGUUCACAUUCUUGCUCUUGUCAUAUGCCUUUGCUUGAGGACAAGCAAAGAUUUAAGUGUGGGGGAACUUGAUAAGUAUAUUUCACAUAUAUAAUUUUGGUACUCAAAUAUAGCUUCUAUCGUGACAUAUUCGUCCAUUCUUGCCAUGAUUGAUUGAAUAUUGCUUGAUAAUCAUCAAAAAGGAUCAUUUACUAGUCUUUGGUCUAUCUUGCAGAAAUGUGCACAAAGGCACUAAUAAUCGUCAAGAUUCCGUCUAUGUGGCUAUCGAGAAGAGUGAAGAAGAGAAGAGAAGGAAGAAGAGACUUGUGUGAGAUGAAGAGAAGUAACCAGGGGGCUAGGUAAAGAAGUGGGAGGACCUUCUUGUGAAGAAAGAAGAGAAGAAAGAGGGCCAAAUCACAAAGUGCAGAUGAGAGGAGGGGAACAAAAUCCCUAGGCACUGGAGGGAUCCGAUCGGGCCUGGCCAUAUCUCCAUCUCUCUUCUCCCCCACCAGUUCUUCCACCUUAGGCCGCUGUCUCGGCCAGGCCGGCGUGGUGGUGCGCCUCUGCAGCCCAGCCACCACCAUCUCCAUCCAUCUCCGCUGCGCCACCAUCCACAUCAGCGCCCUGCGCCAUCCAUCACCAGCACCAACACCCAGCGCCACCCAGCACCUCCACACGCUCCACACCGCCGCCAUCCAUCACCACCGCACCACUGAACACCUCAGCGCGAGAGUUUCCCUGUUGCCGUCCUUCUUCCCUUGCCUCUGCUGCUGCUCUUGCUUGCGCCCCUGUGCUGCUGCCUUUCUUCUCCCCUUGCUACUGCUCCCCUUUUCUAGCGCCUCAACCUGCUGCUCCUUCUCCUCCGCCUGCUGCUAGUCCCUUUCCCACGCCUCUGCUGCUCCUCCUCUUAAAACUGCUGCUGCUCUUCUUUCCCACGUUCCUGCUAUGAACUCUGCUUCUCACCUCCGUUGCUGCUGUUUCUCUUCUGAACCUCUGCUACUGUUCAGCUCUGAACCUCUGCAUCUGUGUUGAAUGUUCUUUCAGUGUUCUUGAGAUGUGUAAAACUGUUCAAUAUUCAGCUUACAAUUUGUGAAACUUUUGUGAUUCAGUGGUGUCUCUAUGUUAUACAUAUAGCUUGUGUACUGCUUGCUGCAGUAAAUUUCAGUUUGUAAGUUCCUGUGAUAGCUCCAGUACAUGUGACUUUUAUGUUGUCUCAAGUUCCUGUUAUAUAUAUACAUAUGUGUGUGUCUGUGAUGUGAUACAUUUAUGUUCUAUCCUACAACCUUAUUGUGUUAGCAUUUUAUUUCUCAUGUAAAACGAAAAUACCAAAAAUAUUAUUGAAGAUAAUCUGAACCUCCUUUGCCCUUUUUGCAUUUUCUUUGGUGACGAUCUUUGGGUACAACCUUGUUUAGUGUAGGUUUAUUUUCUUGCAUUCAUAAUCUGAAUUGUGUUACCUAGCUUUAGCCAAGCACCGUCAUUGAUUUUCCUAGUCCCUCAUGAGAACACGACACUCGUAGUUUGGGGCGUAAAAACCCCGCUAUAUUACAAUUGAUCAUUUUGGCGCCGUUGCCGAUGACUAGCGUCGAGCGAUUGUGCGAAGCUAUAGACUAGGCUUAGUAUAGUUUUUGUUUAAAUUUCCAGUCAAAUUUAUUUCUGUGUUUCUUUUACCUUUUUACUUUUUGUUGCCUCGGCUUAUUAGGAUAGUAACCCUCUCACCAAUGUUUCAUGUUUGUGAGCGUGUGUAGGAUAUCUUAUUAUUUGUAGGCUGAUUGACAGUUGCACUUGAACAUAUGGCUUUAGUACGUGAUCUUUGGUUGCCAAGUAGUUUGGACACGAUGACAGGGCCAAUUUGGCCAUCUAUUGAGGCCAAAAAUUUUGAGUUGAGGCCUGGACUUAUUGCUCUCGUCUUGCAGAAUCAGUUUAGAGGAUUACCCAAUGAAGACCCUCAUGAGCACAUUAGUAAUGUUCUGGAGUAUGCCAAUACAGUCCAGUAUCAUGGCGUUUCCCAAGAUGCUAUCAAGUGUAUGUUGUUCACAUUCUCUCUCAGAGAUGCUGCUAAGGACUGGUACUAUUCUUUGCCAUCAAGAUCAUACACUUGGGGUGAUAUUUCACAAGCUUUCCUGCAUAGAUAUUUUCCACUUUACAAGCAAGCUGCAAUUCGUGACCAGAUCCUCAGUUUUGCGCAAGAUGGUAGUGAGAGCUUGUAUGCAGCUUGGGAGAGAUAUAAGUAUUUGCUUAGAAAAUGUCCUAAUCAUGGGCAAAAGGAUUGGUUAGUGCUUCAGAUAUUCUAUAGAGGGCUGACACAUGCUUCAAGAGAUCUUAUUGAUAUGUCAGCUGGUGGAACAAUCAUGAACAAGACCGUCGAGGGUGCAAUUAUUCUCAUUGAGAGCAUUGCCUUCCACCAAAUGCAAUGGGGUUAUGAAAGGCCUAGUUCAAAUCCGAAGGUUGCAAGCCUCGUGCAAUCAGAAGUUGUGUGUUCCAUAAGUGAACAGAAAUCAUCCAUGGUGCCUAAUAUUCAAAACCAGCAUGUUUCAUUCCGGGGACAACAACAUUUCAGAACUGAAUUAGAUCCUCCAUAUAGAACGAUUGAUCUUACUUCAAUUAUCCUUGACGAUGAUUAUGAUAUUUUUCAAGAUGAUGAAACUACUGUAGAUCAGAUGGAAACCACAGUAGCAGAUCCAAUACCUCAUGGCAAUGAAACUGUCCAGAAUGAGUCAAAGCUGCAAGAAGAUGUUUAUGAGGAACCUACUCUGAUUGAUGCUAAGUUGAGACAGCAAGAUAUGGAGAAAUUCACUUGUGUUAGUCAACUAUGUGACUGGUGGAAUUUAGUCGUGUCACCAAUUGCCCACACUUGUGUUACAACGGUAUCUGGGCUAUUUGUCAAGAAGAAAUCAUUAGCUCCACCGGUGGUUGCCUCUAUCACAGUUAAAGAGAGUAUCUCAGAGAAGAAUAGUGAAGAUGAGAUUCCAACUCCUGCACAUACAACUAAGCAAGUCGGAGCCAUUGCAAGGAGAGAGAUACAAGAGGUUGAAUCAAAUUUAGAAGAGUUGAUACUUCAAUAUCCUGAGAAUAUCCCACGUGUUGCUGAGCUGCAUGACUGGUGGAAGUCAUCAGUGUCACUGUUGAGACUUAGUAGUGAUGGUGAUGAGGAGAACAUUGCUCAGAAAGACAGCGAGGUAGUGAUCUCAGCACCCCUACCAGAUCAUGUUAGUGAAUAUUCACAUAUGGGGACACUUCAGACUCAAUUAAGUGUUGCUGGUAGUAGCACCAUAGAAGAUCCAGAGGAAGAGAGUCCUCAACUUGAAGAAGAUUUACAAGAAGACAAGGAACAAGAUGAUCAAGAGCUGCAAUUUCCAAGUGAUCAAGUUAAAGACUCAUCAUCUACUACUCCUGAAGAAGUACAAGAAGCUGCAGUAGAUGAAUAUGAAGAACCUGAUAUUCAUUGGCCUAUUGUCAUACAUGAGCGCGAUGUGUCAGGUUUACCCAAUCCUCUUGAUGACAUGAUCCCUUGUGAUUUCUUUGCUUCUAACUUGCAUUGCAUGAUGCCAUCACUUAAGGUAGAUUUGAAAAACCAUUUGCUUGGACAUGAUCAUACACACCCUGUUAGUGGCAUUACUCUCAUUUGUGAUGAUCACAAUUACUUUCCUCGUGCUACUUCUAUGCUUAAUGAAACAUAUCAUUCCCAUGUUAGUCUUGAGCUUAAUGAUAAAUAUCAUCCUCAUGUUAGCAUUGAGCUUACUGAUUUGUACCGUCCUAAACAUGUGCUUUAUAGCUAUGCUUAUGUAAUUGGGUACUCUAUAGAUGAUUUAGAGGGCAUUACCCUUGUCACUUGUAUUGUUUCCUUGGUUGAGUGCUCUUUCAGGUUGUUGCUUGUGCAUGAUCCACUACAUGCUGACCAAGUUCGAGAUGACAUUCCCUGGGACCCCGGUGGACCCAUGGCAUGGGGAUGAGGAGAAGCAAGGAGCACACAUGAAGAGAGAAGCUGGAGCAGGCAUGAGGAUAGAGAAGCAAAAAGAGAAGAGCUGCAGCUUAGAGAGUGAUCAAGCGAGUGCUACUUCAUAGUGCCCGGUUAGCUGUUUCAUGACCCAUUCUGAGUAUAUCAUCCAUUGAUGCUUGCUGAAUUAAAUUGCUAUUUGGGUUGCUUGUGCCAUUUCUUAAAUGUUGUCCCACUGAAUUUCACCUUUGACAUAUGGUGCUUGAUGAGAAUAUGCGAACUAAUUGUUGAAUGCCUUGUAACUAGUGAUCUACACCCUGUUUGCUCUGCUGAAAGUAGUGAAAGCUAUUAGUUCUAAGUGCUCAAAUCCCUAGUACACUAGAAAACUAAAUCAUUUUCUGCAUUUACUAUGAUACACCUAGAUCACCAUGUUUAGAUGCUGAAUUUGUGCCAAGUGUGUUCCCAUUGAGAGCAAUCACCUAACCACUAUGGAAUAGCAUGCUAUGUUCCCUGGAUCGGUAGCAUGUGAACCAGACAUGGAGAAGUGAUGAUUCCUGUUUUUGUGCUUAUGCAUUGUUCAUUUAAGAUAAGUAAUAAUGAAUAAAUUAGUCUGACUACCUACAGUAGCAUGUCAUGUUCUUGGGAUCGGUGGCAUGUGAAAUCGGGUUAGCUUGGGCAGUAAUUAUUAUAAAAAUGUAAUUGUCGAACCAGGUGUAUACCAUGUUCUCGGGAUCGGUGGUAUGUUCCUUUGGGGAGACAAACAAGAAAACUAUAUAAUUGGUCGAGCCGGGUGUAUACCAUGUUCUCGGGAUCGGUGGUAUGUUCCUUUGGUGAGAUCAAUAAAAUAUUAUCAUUACUUCCUUCAAAUUCAAUAAGUGGUUCAACCACAAAGUUAUAUUUCUGCAAAUAAGAAAUUUAAUUCCAGUUCUUUUUGUUCUCGGGAUCAUGCUCUCUUUAGGAAUCAUUUGGCGCAAUCAUCAUUUAAACUUGUUGGUCCUCUUUUAUCAUUGUAAAAGUUUAAAAUGGUCAUGCUUACCAGUAUCCUACUGCUUUGUAGCACUCUUAACCAUCAAUUUUCACUAGCUAAGUCCAAAAGCAUGCAUUGUUUAGAGAUCUACUUCACUUGGACAUUCUUUACUCAGUUCACUGUUCACAUUCUUGCUCUUGUCAUAUGCCUUUGCUUGAGGACAAGCAAAGAUUUAAGUGUGGGGGAACUUGAUAAGUAUAUUUCACAUAUAUAAUUUUGGUACUCAAAUAUAGCUUCUAUCGUGACAUAUUCGUCCAUUCUUGCCAUGAUUGAUUGAAUAUUGCUGGAUAAUCAUCAAAAAGGAUCAUUUACUAGUCUUUGGUCUAUCUUGCAGAAAUGUGCACAAAGGCACUAAUAAUCGUCAAGAUUCCGUCUAUGUGGCUAUCGAGAAGAGUGAAGAAGAGAAAAGAAGGAAGAAGAGACUUGUGUGAGAUCAAGAGAAGUAACCAGGAGGCUAGGUAAAGAAGUGGGAGGACCUUCUUGUGAAGAAAGAAGAGAAGAAAGAGGGCCAAAUCACAAAGUGCAGAUGAGAGGAGGGGAACAAAAUCCCUAGGCGCUGGAGGGAUCCGAUCGGGCCUGGCCAUAUCUCCAUCUCUCUUCUCCCCCACCAGUUCUUCCACCUCAGGCCGCUGCCACGGCCAGGCCGGCGUGGUGGAUCGCCUCUGCAGCCCAGCCACCACCAUCUCCAUCCAUCUCUGCUGCGCCACCAUCCACAUCAGCACCGCUGCGCCAUCCAUCACCAGCACCAACACCCAGCGCCACCUAGCACCUCCAAACGCUCCACACCGCCGCCAUCCAUCACCACCGCACCACUGAACACCUCUGUGCGAGAGUUUCCCUGCUGCCGUCCUUCUUCCCAUGCCUCUGCUGCUGCUCUUGCUUGCGCCCCUGUGCUGCUGCCUUUCUUCUCCCCUUGCUACUGCUCCCCUUUUCUAGCGCCUCAACCUGCUGCUCCUUCUCCUUGGCCUGCUGCUAGUCCCUUUCCCCACGCCUCUGCUGCUCCUCCUCUUAAAACUGCUGCUGCUCAUCUUUCCCACGUUCCUACUCUGAACUCUGCUUCUCACCUCCGUUGCUGCUGUUUCUCUUCUGAACCUCUGCUACUGUUCAGCUCUGAACCUCUGCAUCUGUGUUGAAUGUGCUUUCAGUGUUCUUGAGAUGUGUAAAACUGUUCAAUAUUCAGCUUACAAUUUGUGAAACUUUUGUGAUUCAGUGGUGUCUCUAUGUUAUACAUAUAGCUUGUGUACUGCUUGCUGCAGUAAAUUUCAGUUUGUAAGUUCCUGUGAUAGCUCCAGUACAUGUGACUUUUAUGUUGUCUCAAGUUCCUGUUAUAUAUAUACAUAUGUGUGUGUCUGUGAUGUGAUACAUUUAUGUUCUGUCCUACAACCUUAUUGUGUUAGCAUUUUAUUUCUCAUGUAAAACGAAAAUACCAAAAAUAUUAUUGAAGAUAAUCUGAACCUCCUUUGCCCUUUUUGCAUUUUCUUUGGUGACGAUCUUUGGGUACAACCUUGUUUAGUGUAGGUUUAUUUUCUUGCAUUCAUAAUCUGAAUUGUGUUACCUAGCUUUAGCCAAGCACCGUCAUCGAUUUGCCUAGUCCCCGAUGAGAACAUGACACUCAUAGUUUGGGGCGUAAAAACCCCGCUAUAUUACAAUUGAUCAUUUUGGCGCCGUUGUCGGGGACUAGCGUCGAGCGAUUGUGCGAAGCUAUAGACUAGGCUUAGUAUAGUUUUUGUUUAAAUUUCCAGUCAAAUUUAUUUCUGUGUUUCUUUUACCUUUUUACUUUUUGUUGCUUCGGCUUAUUAGGAUACUAACCCUCUCACCAAUGUUUCAUGUUUGUGAGCGUGUGUAGGAUAUCUUAUUAUUUGUAGGCUGAUUGACAGUUGCACUUGAACAUAUGGCUUUAGUACGUGAUCUUUGGUUGCCAAGUAGUUUGGACACGAUGACAGGGCCAAUUUGGCCAUCUAUUGAGGCCAAAAAUUUUGAGUUGAGGCCUGGACUUAUUGCUCUCGUCUUGCAGAAUCAGUUCAGAGGAUUACCCAAUGAAGACCCUCAUGAGCACAUUAGUAAUGUUCUGGAGUAUGCCAAUAUAGUCCAGUAUCAUGGCGUUUCCCAAGAUGCUAUCAAGUGUAUGUUGUUCACAUUCUCUCUCAGAGAUGCUGCUAAGGACUGGUACUAUUCUUUUCCAUCAAGAUCAUACACUUGGGGUGAUAUUUCACAAGCUUUCCUGCAUAGAUAUUUUCCACUUUACAAGCAAGCUGCAAUUCGUGACCAGAUCCUCAGUUUUGCGCAAGAUGGUAGUGAGAGCUUGUAUGCAGCUUGGGAGAGAUAUAAGUAUUUGCUUAGAAAAUGUCCUAAUCAUGGGCAAAAGGAUUGGUUAGUGCUUCAGAUAUUCUAUAGAGGGAUGACACAUGCUUUAAGAGAUCUUAUUGAUAUGUCAGCUGGUGGAACAAUCAUGAACAAGACCGUCGACGUUGCAAUUAUUCUCAUUGAGAGCAUUGCCUUCCACCAAAUGCAAUGGGGUUAUGAAAGGCCUAGUUCAAAUCCGAAGGUUGCAAGCCUCGUGCAAUCAUAAGUUGUGUGUUCCAUAAGUGAACAGAAAUCAUCCAUGGUGCCUAAUAUUCAAAACCAACAUGUUUCAUUCCGUGGACAACAACAUUUCAGAACUGAAUUAGAUCCUCCAUAUAGAACGAUUGAUCUUACUUCAAUUAUCCUUGACGAUGAUUAUGAUAUUUUUCAAGAUGAUGAAACUACUGUAGAUCAGAUGGAAACCACAGUAGCAGAUCCAAUACCUCAUGGCAAUGAAACUGUCCAGAAUGAGUCAAAGCUGCAAGAAGAUGUUUAUGAGGAACCUACUCUGAUUGAUGCUAAGUUGAGACAGCAAGAUAUGGAGAAAUUCACUUGUGUUAGUCAACUAUGUGACUGGUGGAAUUUAGUCGUGUCACCAAUUGCCCACACUUGUGUUACAACGGUAUCUGGGCUAUUUGUCAAGAAGAAAUCAUUAGCUCCACCGGUGGUUGCCUCUAUCACAGUUAAAGAGAGUAUCUCAGAGAAGAAUAGUGAAGAUGAGAUUCCAACUCCUGCACAUACAACUAAGCAAGUCGGAGCCAUUCCAAGGAGAGAGAUACAAGAGGUUGAGUCAAAUUUAGAAGAGUUGAUACUUCAAUAUCCUGAGAAGAUCCCACGUGUUGCUGAGCUGCAUGACUGGUGGAAGUCAUCAGUGUCACUGUUGAGACUUAGUAGUGAUGGUGAUGAGGAGAACAUUGCUCACAAAGACAGUGAGGUAGUGAUCUCAGCACCCCUACCAGAUCAUGUUAGUGAAUAUUCACAUAUGGGGACACUUCAGACUCAAUUAAGUGUUGCUGGUAGUAGCACCAUAGAAGAUCCCGAGGAAGAGAGUCCUCAACUUGAAGAAGAUUUACAAGAAGACAAGGAACAAGAUGAUCAAGAGCUGCAAUUUCCAAGUGAUCAAGUUGAAGACUCAUCAUCUACUACUCCUGAAGAAGUACAAGAAGCUGCUGUAGAUGAAGAUGAAGAACCUGAGAUUCAUUGGCCUAUUGUCAUACAUGAGCGCGAUGUGUCAGGUUUACCCAAUCCUCUUGAUGACAUGCUCCCUUGUGAUUUCUUUGCUUCUAACUUGCAUUGCAUGAUGCCAUCACUUAAGGUAGAUUUGAAAAACUAUUUGCUUGGACAUGAUCAUACACACCCUGUUAGUGGCAUUACUCUCAUUUGUGAUGAUCACAGUUACUUUCCUCGUGCUAGUUCUAUGCUUAAUGAAACAUAUCAUUCCCAUGUUAGUCUUGAGCUUAAUGAUAAAUAUCAUCCUCAUGUUAGCAUUGAGCUUACUGAUUUGUACCGUCCUAAACAUGUGCUUUAUAGCUAUGCUUAUGUAAUUGGGUACUCUAUAGAUGAUUUAGAGGGCAUUACCCUUGUCACUUGUAUUGUUUCCUUGGUUGAGUGCUCUUUCAGGUUGUUGCUUGUGCACGAUCCACUACAUGCUGACCAAGUUCGAGAUGACAUUCCCUGGGACCCCGGUGGACCCAUGGCAUGGGGAUGAGGAGAAGCAAGGAGCACACAUGAAGAGAGAAGCUGGAGCAGGCAUGAGGAUAGGGAAGCAAAAAGAGAAGAGCUGCAGCUUAGAGAGUGAUCAAGCGAGUGCUACUUCAUAGUGCCCGGUUAGCUGUUUCAUGACCCAUUCUGAGUAUAUCAUCCAUUGAUGCUUGCUGAAUUAAAUUGCUAUUUGGGUUGCUUGUGCCAUUUCUUAAAUGUUGUCCCACUGAAUUUCACCUUUGACAUAUGGUGCUUGAUGAGAAUAUGCGAACUAAUUGUUGAAUGCCUUGUAACUAGUGAUCUACACCCUGUUUGCUCUGCUGAAAGUAGUGAAAGCUAUUAGUUCUGAGUGCUCAAAUCCCUAGUACACUAGAAAACUAAAUCAUUUUCUGCAUUUACUAUGAUACACCUACAUCACCAUGUUUAGAUGCUGAAUUUUUGCCAAGUGUGUUCCCAUUGAGAGCAAUCACCUAACCACUAUGGAAUAGCAUGCUAUGUUCCCUGGAUCGGUAGCAUGUGAACCAGACAUGGAGAAGUGAUGAUUCCUGUUUUUGUGCUUAUGCAUUGUUCAUUUAAGAUAAGUAAUAAUGAAUAAAUUAGUCUGACUACCUACAGUAGCAUGUCAUGUUCUUGGGAUCGGUGGCAUGUGAAAUCGGGUUAGCUUGGGCAGUAAUAAUAUAAAAAUGUAAUUGUCGAACCAGGUGUAUACCAUGUUCUCGGGAUCGGUGGUAUGUUCCUUUGGGGAGACAAACAAGAAAACUAUAUAAUUGGUCGAGCCGGGUGUAUACCAUGUUCUCGAGAUCGGUGGUAUGUUCCUUUGGUGAGAUCAAUAAAAUAUUAUCAUUACUUCCUUCAAAUUCAAUAAGUGGUUCAACAACAAAGUUAUAUUUCUGCAAAUAAGAGAUUUAAUUCCAGUUCUUUUUGUUCUCGGGAUCAUGCUCUCUUUAGGAAUCAUUUGGCGCAAUCAUCAUUUAAACUUGUUGGUCCUCUUUUAUCAUUGUAAAAGUUUAAAAUGGUCAUGCUUACCAGUAUCCUACUGCUUUGUAGCACUCUUAACCAUCAAUUUUCACUAGCUAAGUCCAAAAGCAUGCAUUGUUUAGAGAUCUACUUCACUUGGACAUUCUUUACUCAGUUCACUGUUCACAUUCUUGCUCUUGUCAUAUGCCUUUGCUUGAGGACAAGCAAAGAUUUAAGUGUGGGGGAACUUGAUAAGUAUAUUUCACAUAUAUAAUUUUGGUACUCAAAUAUAGCUUCUAUCGUGACAUAUUCGUCCAUUCUUGCCAUGAUUGAUUGAAUAUUCCUUGAUAAUCAUCAAAAAGGAUCAUUUACUAGUCUUUGGUCUAUCUUGCAGAAAUGUGCACAAAGGCACUAAUAAUCGUCAAGAUUCCGUCUAUGUGGCUAUCGAGAAGAGUGAAGAAGAGAAGAGAAGGAAGAAGAGACUUGUGUGAGAUGAAGAGAAGUAACCAGGGGGCUAGGUAAAGAAGUGGGAGGACCUUCUUGUGAAGAAAGAAGAGAAGAAAGAGGGCCAAAUCACAAAGUGCAGAUGAGAGGAGGGGAACAAAAUCCCUAGGCGCUGGAGGGAUCCGAUCGGGCCUGGCCAUAUCUCCAUCUCUCUUCUCCCCCACCACUUCUUCCACCUCAGGCCGCUGUCUCGGCCAGGCCGGCGUGGUGGUGCGCCUCUGCAGCCCAGCCACCACCAUCUCCAUCCAUCUCCGCUGCGCCACCAUCCACAUCAGCGCCGCUGCGCCAUCCAUCACCAGCACCAACACCCAGCGCCACCCAGCACCUCCACACACUCCACACCGCCGCCAUCCAUCACCACCGCACCACUGAACACCUCCGCGCGAGAGUUUCCCUGCUGCCGUCCUUCUUCCCUUGCCUCUGCUGCUGCUCUUGCUUGCGCCCCUGUGCUGCUGCCUUUCUUCUCCCCUUGCUACUGCUCCCCUUUUCUAGCGCCUCAACCUGCUGCUCCUUCUCCUUCGCCUGCUGCUAGUCCCUUUCCCCAUGCCUCUGCUGCUCCUCCUCUUAAAACUGCUGCUGCUCUUCUUCCCCACGUUCCUGCUCUGCACUCUGCUUCUCACCUCCGUUGCUGCUGUUUCUCUUCUGAACCUCUGCUACUGUUCAGCUCUGAACCUCUGCAUCUGUGUUGAAUGUGCUUUCAGUGUUCUUGACAUGUGUAAAACUGUUCAAUAUUCAGCUUACAAUUUGUGAAACUUUUGUGAUACAGUGAUGUCUCUAUGUUAUACAUAUAGCUUGUGUACUGCUUGCUGCAGUAAAUUUCAGUUUGUAAGUUCCUGUGAUAGCUCCAGUACAUGUGACUUUUAUGUUGUCUCAAGUUCCUGUUAUAUAUAUACAUAUGUGUGUGUCUGUGAUGUGAUACAUUUAUGUUCUGUCCUACAACCUUAUUGUGUUAGCAUUUUAUUUCUCAUGUAAAACGAAAAUACCAAAAAUAUUAUUGAAGAUAAUCUGAACCUCCUUUGCCCUUUUUGCAUUUUCUUUGGUGACGAUCUUUGGGUACAACCUUGUUUAGUGUAGGUUUAUUUUCUUGCAUUCAUAAUCUGAAUUGUGUUACCUAGCUUUAGCCAACCACCGUCAUUGAUUUGCCUAGUCCCUCAUGAGAACACGACACUCAUAGUUUGGGGCGUAAAAACCCCGCUAUAUUACAAUUGAUCAUUUUGGCGCCGUUGCCGGGGACUAGCGUCGAGCGAUUGUGCGAAGCUAUAGACUAGGCUUAGUAUAGUUUUUGUUUAAAUUUCCAGUCAAAUUUAUUUCUGUGUUUCUUUUACCUUUUUACUAUUUGUUGCUUCGGCUUAUUAGGAUACUAACCCUCUCACCAAUGUUUCAUGUUUGUGAGCGUGUGUAGGAUAUCUUAUUAUUUGUAGGCUGAUUGACAGUUGCACUUGAACAUAUGGCUUUAGUACGUGAUCUUUGGUUGCCAAGUAGUUUGGACACGAUGACAGGGCCAAUUUGGCCAUCUAUUGAGGCCAAAAAUUUUGAGUUGAGGCCUGGACUUAUUGCUCUCGUCUUGCAGAAUCAGUUUAGAGGAUUACCCAAUGAAGACCCUCAUGAGCACAUUAGUAAUGUUCUGGAGUAUGCCAAUACAGUCUAGUAUCAUGGCGUUUCCCAAGAUGCUAUCAAGUGUAUGUUGUUCACAUUCUCUCUCAGAGAUGCUGCUAAGGACUGGUACUAUUCUUUUCCAUCAAGAUCAUACACUUGGGGUGAUAUUUCACAAGCUUUCCUGCAUAGAUAUUUUCCACUUUACAAGCAAGCUGCAAUUCGUGACCAGAUCCUCAGUUCUGCGCAAGAUGGUAGUGAGAGCUUGUAUGCAGCUUGGGAGAGAUAUAAGUAUUUGCUUAGAAAAUGUCCUAAUCAUGGGCAAAAGGAUUGGUUAGUGCUUCAGAUAUUCUAUAGAGGGAUGACACAUGCUUCAAGAGAUCUUAUUGAUAUGUCAACUGGUGGAACAAUCAUGAACAAGACCGUCGAGGGUGCAAUUAUUCUCAUUGAGAGCAUUGCCUUCCACCAAAUUCAAUGGGGUUAUCAAAGGCCUAGUUCAAAUCCGAAGGUUGCAAGCCUCGUGCAAUCAAAAGUUGUGUGUUCCAUAAGUGAACAGAAAUCAUCCAUGGUGCCUAAUAUUCAAAACCAGCAUGUUUCAUUCCGGGGACAACAACAUUUCAGAACUGAAUUAGAUCCUCCAUAUAGAACGAUUGAUCUUACUUCAAUUAUCCUUGAUGAUGAUUAUGAUAUUUUUCAAGAUGAUGAAACUACUGUAGAUCAGAUGGAAACCACAGUAGCAGAUCCAAUACCUCAUGGCAAUGAAACUAUCCAGAAUGAGUCAAAGCUGCAAGAAGAUGUUUAUGAGGAACCUACUCUGAUUGAUGCUAAGUUGAGACAGCAAGAUAUGGAGAAAUUCACUUGUGUUAGUCAACUAUGUGACUGGUGGAAUUUAGUCGUGUCACCAAUUGCCCACACUUGUGUUACAACGGUAUCUGGGCUAUUUGUCAAGAAGAAAUCAUUAGCUCCACCGGUGGUUGCCUCUAUCACAGUUAAAGAGAGUAUCUCAGAGAAGAAUAGUGAAGAUGAGAUUCCAACUCCUGCACAUACAACUAAGCAAGUCGGAGCCAUUCCAAGGAGAGAGAUACAAGAGGUUGAGUCAAAUUUAGAAGAGUUGAUACUUCAAUAUCCUGAGAAGAUCCCACGUGUUGCUGAGCUGCAUGACUGGUGGAAGUCAUCAGUGUCACUGUUGAGACUUAGUAGUGAUGGUGAUGAGGAGAACAUUGCUCACAAAGACAGUGAGGUAGUGAUCUCAGCACCCCUACCAGAUCAUGUUAGUGAAUAUUCACAUAUGGGGACACUUCAGACUCAAUUAAGUGUUGCUGGUAGUAGCACCAUAGAAGAUCCNNNNNNNNNNNNNNNNNNNNNNNNNNNNNNNNNNNNNNNNNNNNNNNNNNNNNNNNNNNNNNNNNNNNNNNNNNNNNNNNNNNNNNNNNNNNNNNNNNNNNNNNNNNNNNNNNNNNNNNNNNNNNNNNNNNNNNNNNNNNNNNNNNNNNNNNNNNNNNNNNNNNNNNNNNNNNNNNNNNNNNNNNNNNNNNNNNNNNNNNNNNNNNNNNNNNNNNNNNNNNNNNNNNNNNNNNNNNNNNNNNNNNNNNNNNNNNNNNNNNNNNNNNNNNNNNNNNNNNNNNNNNNNNNNNNNNNNNNNNNNNNNNNNNNNNNNNNNNNNNNNNNNNGAGGAAGAGAGUCCUCAACUUGAAGAAGAUUUACAAGAAGACAAGGAACAAGAUGAUCAAGAGCUGCAAUUUCCAAGUGAUCAAGUUGAAGACUCAUCAUCUACUACUCCUGAAGAAGUACAAGAAGCUGCUGUAGAUGAAGAUGAAGAACCUGAGAUUCAUUGGCCUAUUGUCAUACAUGAGCGCGAUGUGUCAGGUUUACCCAAUCCUCUUGAUGACAUGCUCCCUUGUGAUUUCUUUGCUUCUAACUUGCAUUGCAUGAUGCCAUCACUUAAGGUAGAUUUGAAAAACUAUUUGCUUGGACAUGAUCAUACACACCCUGUUAGUGGCAUUACUCUCAUUUGUGAUGAUCACAGUUACUUUCCUCGUGCUAGUUCUAUGCUUAAUGAAACAUAUCAUUCCCAUGUUAGUCUUGAGCUUAAUGAUAAAUAUCAUCCUCAUGUUAGCAUUGAGCUUACUGAUUUGUACCGUCCUAAACAUGUGCUUUAUAGCUAUGCUUAUGUAAUUGGGUACUCUAUAGAUGAUUUAGAGGGCAUUACCCUUGUCACUUGUAUUGUUUCCUUGGUUGAGUGCUCUUUCAGGUUGUUGCUUGUGCACGAUCCACUACAUGCUGACCAAGUUCGAGAUGACAUUCCCUGGGACCCCGGUGGACCCAUGGCAUGGGGAUGAGGAGAAGCAAGGAGCACACAUGAAGAGAGAAGCUGGAGCAGGCAUGAGGAUAGGGAAGCAAAAAGAGAAGAGCUGCAGCUUAGAGAGUGAUCAAGCGAGUGCUACUUCAUAGUGCCCGGUUAGCUGUUUCAUGACCCAUUCUGAGUAUAUCAUCCAUUGAUGCUUGCUGAAUUAACUUGCUAUUUGGGUUGCUUGUGCCAUUUCUUAAAUGUUGUCCCACUGAAUUUCACCUUUGACAUAUGGUGCUUGAUGAGAAUAUGCGAACUAAUUGUUGAAUGCCUUGUAACUAGUGAUCUACACCCUGUUUGCUCUGCUGAAAGUAGUGAAAGCUGUUAGUUCUGAGUGCUCAAAUCCCUAGUACACUAGAAAACUAAAUCAUUUUCUGCAUUUACUAUGAUACACCUACAUCACCAUGUUUAGAUGCUGAAUUUUUGCCAAGUGUGUUCCCAUUGAGAGCAAUCACCUAACCACUAUGGAAUAGCAUGCUAUGUUCCCUGGAUCGGUAGCAUGUGAACCAGACAUGGAGAAGUGAUGAUUCCUGUUUUUGUGCUUAUGCAUUGUUCAUUUAAGAUAAGUAAUAAUGAAUAAAUUAGUCUGACUACCUACAGUAGCAUGUCAUGUUCUUGGGAUCGGUGGCAUGUGAAAUCGGGUUAGCUUGGGCAGUAAUAAUAUAAAAAUGUAAUUGUCGAACCAGGUGUAUACCAUGUUCUCGGGAUCGGUGGUAUGUUCCUUUGGGGAGACAAACAAGAAAACUAUAUAAUUGGUCGAGCCGGGUGUAUACCAUGUUCUCGAGAUCGGUGGUAUGUUCCUUUGGUGAGAUCAAUAAAAUAUUAGCAUUACUUCCUUCAAAUUCAAUAAGUGGUUCAACAACAAAGUUAUAUUUCUGCAAAUAAGAGAUUUAAUUCCAGUUCUUUUUGUUCUCGGGAUCAUGCUCUCUUUAGGAAUCAUUUGGCGCAAUCAUCAUUUAAACUUGUUGGUCCUCUUUUAUCAUUGUAAAAGUUUAAAAUGGUCAUGCUUACCAGUAUCCUACUGCUUUGUAGCACUCUUAACCAUCAAUUUUCACUAGCUAAGUCCAAAAGCAUGCAUUGUUUAGAGAUCUACUUCACUUGGACAUUCUUUACUCAGUUCACUGUUCACAUUCUUGCUCUUGUCAUAUGCCUUUGCUUGAGGACAAGCAAAGAUUUAAGUGUGGGGGAACUUGAUAAGUAUAUUUCACAUAUAUAAUUUUGGUACUCAAAUAUAGCUUCUAUCGUGACAUAUUCGUCCAUUCUUGCCAUGAUUGAUUGAAUAUUGCUUGAUAAUCAUCAAAAAGGAUCAUUUACUAGUCUUUGGUCUAUCUUGCAGAAAUGUGCACAAAGGCACUAAUAAUCGUCAAGAUUCCGUCUAUGUGGCUAUCGAGAAGAGUGAAGAAGAGAAGAGAAGGAAGAAGAGACUUGUGUGAGAUGAAGAGAAGUAACCAGGGGGCUAGGUAAAGAAGUGGGAGGACCUUCUUGUGAAGAAAGAAGAGAAGAAAGAGGGCCAAAUCACAAAGUGCAGAUGAGAGGAGGGGAACAAAAUCCCUAGGCGCUGGAGGGAUCCGAUCGGGCCUGGCCAUAUCUCCAUCUCUCUUCUCCCCCACCACUUCUUCCACCUCAGGCCGCUGUCUCGGCCAGGCCGGCGUGGUGGUGCGCCUCUGCAGCCCAGCCACCACCAUCUCCAUCCAUCUCCGCUGCGCCACCAUCCACAUCAGCGCCGCUGCGCCAUCCAUCACCAGCACCAACACCCAGCGCCACCCAGCACCUCCACACACUCCACACCGCCGCCAUCCAUCACCACCGCACCACUGAACACCUCCGCGCGAGAGUUUCCCUGCUGCCGUCCUUCUUCCCUUGCCUCUGCUGCUGCUCUUGCUUGCGCCCCUGUGCUGCUGCCUUUCUUCUCCCCUUGCUACUGCUCCCCUUUUCUAGCGCCUCAACCUGCUGCUCCUUCUCCUUCGCCUGCUGCUAGUCCCUUUCCCCAUGCCUCUGCUGCUCCUCCUCUUAAAACUGCUGCUGCUCUUCUUCCCCACGUUCCUGCUCUGCACUCUGCUUCUCACCUCCGUUGCUGCUGUUUCUCUUCUGAACCUCUGCUACUGUUCAGCUCUGAACCUCUGCAUCUGUGUUGAAUGUGCUUUCAGUGUUCUUGACAUGUGUAAAACUGUUCAAUAUUCAGCUUACAAUUUGUGAAACUUUUGUGAUACAGUGAUGUCUCUAUGUUAUACAUAUAGCUUGUGUACUGCUUGCUGCAGUAAAUUUCAGUUUGUAAGUUCCUGUGAUAGCUCCAGUACAUGUGACUUUUAUGUUGUCUCAAGUUCCUGUUAUAUAUAUACAUAUGUGUGUGUCUGUGAUCUGAAACAUUUAUGUUCUAUCCUACAACCUUAUUGUGUUAGCAUUUUAUUUCUCAUGUAAAACGAAAAUACCAAAAAUAUUAUUGAAGAUAAUCUGAACCUCCUUUGCCCUUUUUGCAUUUUCUUUGGUGACGAUCUUUGGGUACAACCUUGUUUAGUGUAGGUUUAUUUUCUUGCAUUCAUAAUCUGAAUUGUGUUACCUAGCUUUAGCCAACCACCGUCAUUGAUUUGCCUAGUCCCUCAUGAGAACACGACACUCAUAGUUUGGGGCGUAAAAACCCCGCUAUAUUACAAUUGAUCAUUUUGGCGCCGUUGCCGGGGACUAGCGUCGAGCGAUUGUGCGAAGCUAUAGACUAGGCUUAGUAUAGUUUUUGUUUAAAUUUCCAGUCAAAUUUAUUUCUGUGUUUCUUUUACCUUUUUACUAUUUGUUGCUUCGGCUUAUUAGGAUACUAACCCUCUCACCAAUGUUUCAUGUUUGUGAGCGUGUGUAGGAUAUCUUAUUAUUUGUAGGCUGAUUGAUAGUUGCACUUGAACAUAUGGCUUUAGUACGUGAUCUUUGGUUGCCAAGUAGUUUGGACACGAUGACAGGGCCAAUUUGGCCAUCUAUUGAGGCCAAAAAUUUUGAGUUGAGGCCUGGACUUAUUGCUCUCGUCUUGCAGAAUCAGUUUAGAGGAUUACCCAAUGAAGACCCUCAUGAGCACAUUAGUAAUGUUCUGGAGUAUGCCAAUACAGUCUAGUAUCAUGGCGUUUCCCAAGAUGCUAUCAAGUGUAUGUUGUUCACAUUCUCUCUCAGAGAUGCUGCUAAGGACUGGUACUAUUCUUUUCCAUCAAGAUCAUACACUUGGGGUGAUAUUUCACAAGCUUUCCUGCAUAGAUAUUUUCCACUUUACAAGCAAGCUGCAAUUCGUGACCAGAUCCUCAGUUCUGCGCAAGAUGGUAGUGAGAGCUUGUAUGCAGCUUGGGAGAGAUAUAAGUAUUUGCUUAGAAAAUGUCCUAAUCAUGGGCAAAAGGAUUGGUUAGUGCUUCAGAUAUUCUAUAGAGGGAUGACACAUGCUUCAAGAGAUCUUAUUGAUAUGUCAACUGGUGGAACAAUCAUGAACAAGACCGUCGAGGGUGCAAUUAUUCUCAUUGAGAGCAUUGCCUUCCACCAAAUUCAAUGGGGUUAUGAAAGGCCUAGUUCAAAUCCGAAGGUUGCAAGCCUCGUGCAAUCAAAAGUUGUGUGUUCCAUAAGUGAACAGAAAUCAUCCAUGGUGCCUAAUAUUCAAAACCAGCAUGUUUCAUUCCGGGGACAACAACAUUUCAGAACUGAAUUAAAUCCUCCAUAUAGAACGAUUGAUCUUACUUCAAUUAUCCUUGAUGAUGAUUAUGAUAUUUUUCAAGAUGAUGAAACUACUGUAGAUCAGAUGGAAACCACAGUAGCAGAUCCAAUACCUCAUGGCAAUGAAACUGUCCAGAAUGAGUCAAAGCUGCAAGAAGAUGUUUAUGAGGAACCUACUCUGAUUGAUGCUAAGUUGAGACAGCAAGAUAUGGAGAUAUUCACUUGUGUUAGUCAACUAUGUGACUGGUGGAAUUUAGUCGUGUCACCAAUUGCCCACACUUGUGUUACAACGGUAUCUGGGCUAUUUGUCAAGAAGAAAUCAUUAGCUCCACCGGUGGUUGCCUCUAUCACAGUUAAAGAGAGUAUCUCAGAGAAGAAUAGUGAAGAUGAUAUUCCAACUCCUGCACAUACAACUAAGCAAGUCGGAGCCAUUCCAAGGAGAGAGAUACAAGAGGUUGAGUCAAAUUUAGAAGAGUUGAUACUUCAAUAUCCUGAGAAGAUCCCACGUGUUGCUGAGCUGCAUGACUGGUGGAAGUCAUCAGUGUCACUGUGGAGACUUAGUAGUGAUGGUGAUGAGGAGAACAUUGCUCAGAAAGACAACGAGGUAGUGAUCUCAGCACCCCUACCAGAUCAUGUUAGUGAAUAUUCACAUAUGGGGACACUUCAGACUCAAUUAAGUGUUGCUGGUAGUAGCACCAUAGAAGAUCCAGAGGAAGAGAGUCCUCAACUUGAAGAAGAUUUACAAGAAGACAAGGAACAAGAUGAUCAAGAGCUGCAAUUUCCAAGUGAUCAAGUUGAAGACUCAUCAUCUACUACUCCUGAAGAAGUACAAGAUGCUGCUAUAGAUGAAGAUGAAGAACCUGAGAUUCAUUGGCCUAUUGUCAUACAUGAGCGCGAUGUGUCAGGUUUACCCAAUCCUCUUGAUGACAUGCUCCCUUGUGACUUCUUUGCUUCUAACUUGCAUUGCAUGAUGCCAUCACUUAAGGUAGAUUUGAAAAACUAUUUGCUUGGACAUGAUCAUACACACCCUGUUAGUGGCAUUACUCUCAUUUGUGAUGAUCACAGUUACUUUCCUCGUGCUAGUUCUAUGCUUAAUGAAACAUAUCAUUCCCAUGUUAGUCUUGAGCUUAAUGAUAAAUAUCAUCCUCAUGUUAGCAUUGAGCUUACUGAUUUGUACCGUCCUAAACAUGUGCUUUAUAGCUAUGCUUAUGUAAUUGGGUACUCUAUAGAUGAUUUAGAGGGCAUUACCCUUGUCACUUGUAUUGUUUCCCUGGUUGAGUGCUCUUUCAGGUUGUUGCUUGUGCACGAUCCACUACAUGCUGACCAAGUUCGAGAUGACAUUCCCUGGGACCCCGGUGGACCCAUGGCAUGGGGAUGAGGAGAAGCAAGGAGCACACAUGAAGAGAGAAGCUGGAGCAGGCAUGAGGAUAGAGAAGCAAAAAGAGAAGAGCUGCAGCUUAGAGAGUGAUCAAGCGAGUGCUACUUCAUAGUGCCCGGUUAGCUGUUUCAUGACCCAUUCUGAGUAUAUCAUCCAUUGAUGCUUGCUGAAUUAAAUUGCUAUUUGGGUUGCUUGUGCCAUUUAUUAAAUGUUGUCCCACUGAAUUUCACCUUUGACAUAUGGUGCUUGAUGAGAAUAUGCGAACUAAUUGUUGAACGCCUUGUAACUAGUGAUCUACACCCUGUUUGCACUGCUGAAAGUAGUGAAAGCUAUUAGUUCUGAGUGCUCAAAUCCCUAGUACACUAGAAAACUAAAUCAUUUUCUGCAUUUACUAUGAUACACCUAGAUCACCAUGUUUAGAUGCUGAAUUUGUGCCAAGUGUGUUCCCAUUGAGAGCAAUCACCUAACCACUAUGGAAUAGCAUGCUAUGUUCCCUGGAUCGGUAGCAUGUGAACCAGACAUGGAGAAGUGAUGAUUCCUAUUUUUGUGCUUAUGCAUUGUUCAUUUAAGAUAAGUAAUAAUGAAUAAAUUAGUCUGACUACCUACAGUAGCAUGUCAUGUUCUUGGGAUCGGUGGCAUGUGAAAUCGGGUUAGCUUGGGCAGUAAUUAUUAUAAAAAUGUAAUUGUCGAACCAGGUGUAUACCAUGUUCUCGGGAUCGGUGGUAUGUUCCUUUGGGGAGACAAACAAGAAAACUAUAUAAUUGGUCGAGCCGGGUGUAUACCAUGUUCUCGGGAUCGGUGGUAUGUUCCUUUGGUGAGAUCAAUAAAAUAUUAUCAUUACUUCCUUCAAAUUCAAUAAGUGGUUCAACCACAAAGUUAUAUUUCUGCAAAUAAGAGAUUUAAUUCCAGUUCUUUUUGUUCUCGGGAUCAUGCUCUCUUUAGGAAUCAUUUGGCGCAAUCAUCAUUUAAACUUGUUGGUCCUCUUUUAUCAUUGUAAAAGUUUAAAAUGGUCAUGCUUACCAGUAUCCUACUGCUUUGUAGCACUCUUAACCAUCAAUUUUCACUAGCUAAGUCCAAAAGCAUGCAUUGUUUAGAGAUCUACUUCACUUGGACAUUCUUUACUCAGUUCACUGUUCACAUUCUUGCUCUUGUCAUAUGCCUUUACUUGAGGACAAGCAAAGAUUUAAGUGUGGGGGAACUUGAUAAGUAUAUUUCACAUAUAUAAUUUUGGUACUCAAAUAUAGCUUCUAUCGUGACAUAUUCGUCCAUUCUUGCCAUGAUUGAUUGAAUAUUGCUUGAUAAUCAUCAAAGAGGAUCAUUUACUAGUCUUUGGUCUAUCUUGCAGAAAUGUGCGCAAAGGCACUAAUAAUCGUCAAGAUUCCGUCUAUGUGGCUAUCGUGAAGAGUGAAGAAGAGAAGAGAAGGAAGAAGAGACUUGUGUGAGAUGAAGAGAAGUAACCAGGGGGCUAGGUAAAGAAGUGGGAGGACCUUCUUGUGAAGAAAGAAGAGAAGAAAGAGGGCCAAAUCACAAAGUGCAGAUGAGAGGAGGGGAACAAAAUCUAGGCGCUGGAGGGAUCCGAUCGGGCCUGGCCAUAUCUCCAUCUCUCUUCUCCCCCACCACUUCUUCCACCUCAGGCCGCCGCCACGGCCAGGCCGGCGUGGUGGUGUGCCUCUGCAGCCCAGCCACCACCAUCUCCAUCCAUCUCCGCUGCGGCACCAUCCACAUCAGCGCCGCUGCGCCAUCCAUCACCAGCACCAACACCCAGCGCCACCUAGCACCUCCACACGCUCCACACCGCCACCAUCUAUCACCACCGCACCACUGAACACCUCCGUGCGAGAGUUUCCCUGCUGCCGUCCUUCUUCCCUUGCCUCUGUAGCUGCUCUUUCUUGCGCCCCUGUGCUGCUGCCUUUCUUCUCCCCUUGCUACUGCUCCCCUUUUCUAGCGCCUCAACCUGCUGCUGCUUCUCCUUCGCCUGCUGCUAGUCCCUUUCCCCACGCCUCUGCUGCUCCUCCUCUUAAAACUGCUACUGCUCUUCUUUCCCACGUUCCUGCUCUGCACUCUGCUUCUCACCUCCGUUGCUGCUGUUUCUCUUCUGAACCUCUGCUACUGUUCAACUCUGAACCUCUGCAUCUGUGUUGAAUGUGCUUUCAGUGUUCUUGAGAUGUGUAAAACUGUUCAAUAUUCAGCUUACAAUUUGUGAAACUUUUGUGAUUCAGCGGUGUCUCUAUGUUAUACAUAUAGAUUGUGUAUUGCUCGCUGCAGUAAAUUUCAGUUUGUAAGUUCCUGUGAUAGCUCUAGUACAUGUGACUUUUAUGUUGUCUCAAGUUCCUGUUAUAUAUAUACAUAUGUGUGUGUCUGUGAUGUGAUACAUUUAUGUUCUGUCCUACAACCUUAUUGUGUUAGCAUUUUAUUUCUCAUGUAAAACGAAAAUACCAAAAAUAUUAUUGAAGAUAAUCUGAACCUCCUUUGCCC